CUUCUUCUUCUUCUUCUUCUUCUUCUUCUUCUUCUUCUUCUUCUUUUUGCUUUCUGACAAACUUUGACAGAUACGUAGCUAUAAGAGAACCAAACAUCUCAUGUGAAGUUCUGAAUUCUUUUGACAAACUUUGACAGAUACAGAUAGUUAUCAAUGUGAGGAAGAGGAGUGCCAAUAUUCAGCAGCAAACUGACGUAUUUUAUCAGGAACUAAUAUCUCAUUCAGUUAUUCAGGUGUCAGUACAUGGAGUUGAAGUGGAGAGGAAAAGUAUGUGCAGUUGCAAAGCUAGGGAGCACAGGGAGAAUGCAGAUUCCAGAUGUGUUCAGAUUCAAACACCGGUAGCAACGGAGGGUUCAUCGAUCCAGCGCCCAAUUACUCUGUUUGAGCUAUGAUGGACCCUAGCGCUCCAUCUUUUGGCACUUCCGAGUUCCGAUCAAAGGGAGAGUCACCGUUCUCGCGGCAUGGAAUAGUCGCACGCGAUUCGCCGGUUCCAACCGAUGCGUGCGGCGUCGCCGAUCUGCUGCGUCCCUUUGGUCGAUGGUGGUGUGCAGUACGAAAUUGAUGGAGGCUCCGGCGGUGCGGGCUUAUGUAUCUGUUGCUGCGCUCCUGAAUUGGGAGAUGGGAGGUCGCCAAGAUGGCAAGAUUAUGGGACCUAAGAUUAUCACGCAGAGUGCAGCAACGAAACAAGCAAUGCAAUCGAGGAAGCGAGGUGGGCGGACCUGAGGUAGCCGAGCAGGGCUCUGCGUGAUCCACCUCUUCCAAGGACGACGAGGUGGUGGUGGUGGUGGACUCCU